rnacentral:lncRNA from 1 species
CUUACGAGAGUCCAAGGCCCAACUCGGGUAUUCAUCGUAUCGUGCUCGUAUUGUUCCGACAGCUCGGUAGGCAAACAGUGUAUGAACCAGGAUGGCGCCAACAAUUCAACACUCGUGAGUUUGCUUCCCUAUACAAUCUCGGCCUUCCCGUGGCUGCGGUUUUCUACAAUUGUCAGAGGGAGAGUGGCUGCGGAGGACGAAGAAGUUAGAUGAGCCUCUUCUUCUUUUAAUAACUU